rnacentral:lncRNA from 1 species
AUAACAAAGGCACCAUAGCACUAGCUAAAGAGCCAAGGUCUCACCAGAAGCCGAAGCACAUAGAGCGGCGGUUUAACCAAAUAAGCGACUACCCAGAAAAGAAAUAAGUAGAGGAUCAGAGAGUAGACUCCACAGGAAAUGUGGUGGACCCAUUCACUAAGCAGAUAAGUCAGCAGAAAACUAAAGCACAUCUUGAGAAGAUGGGGCUUAGGUUUAUGGCUGAUUGGCUUUAGUGCAAGUGGGAGAUUGUUAGAAGUAUGCCCUAGA